GACGAACGCUGGCGGCGUGCUUAACACAUGCAAGUCGAACGGGCCCGCCCCUGUUUUUGGGGGUGGGUUGAGUGGCGAACGGGUGAGUAUCACGUGAGUAACCUGCCCCCUGCUCCUGGAUAACUGCUUGAAAGGGCGGCUAAUACGGGGUGUGCCGGCUGGUCCGCAUGGGCCUGGUCGGGAUAGUUUCAUCUUCGGGUGUUUCGGUGGGGGAUGGGCUCGCGGCCUAUCAGCUUGUUGGUGGGGUGAUGGCCCACCAAGGCGGUGACGGGUAGCCGGCCUGAGAGGGUGGGCGGCCACACUGGGACUGAGGCACGGCCCAGACUCCUGCGGGAGGCAGCAGGGGGGGGUAUUGCACAAUGGGCGGAAGCCUGAUGCAGCGACGUCGCGUGAGGGAUGGAGGCCGUCGGGUUGUGAACCUCUUUCUCCGGUGGUGAAGGCCCUGUCCGUUGCGGCGGGGUUGACGGUAGCCGGGGAUGAAGCGCCGGCUAACUACGUG
rnacentral:rRNA from 1 species